GUGGCUAAGUUUGGGAGUACAUAGACUAAAAUUGAAACGAUAAAGAGAUGAUGAGCAUGACCCUUGCUCACUGAUAACAUACAGAUUUGUGAGAACUUCCUUAUUUAA